rnacentral:lncRNA from 1 species
GUAGACACAUUCAUCUCCCAUAGUAUAUGGUUUUGUUUCAUCGCAGAUUUUCUCAAAUGAGGAUAAAAAUGAUGCUUCCUGAGCUGGACACCUGACAUCUUGUCUUAAAAUGCGAGAGGAUGGAUAGCGCAACCAGCCCCGCGUCAGAGUCUGGUCUUUCCAAUGGAUUUGUCAAUAGCGUGUUCAACGUUUCAGUUGACGAAGAGAGCAAAACUGAGAUCUCAUGGACUCCAGAGUGCAAUUCCUCAGACUCCAUUAUUCCCGGUCAGACGCUCAGAAGAGAAAAACAGGAACCGGUCCGGCGCUCUAGGACGGCGGCCUUCUGGAGGAUCCUGCAGCGCCACAAGACCCCCUCGGACCUGGACAGACGACCUCACUCCGUCAUCCUCCCCGGUGAAGCAUCCUUCUUCAAACUGUCCAUCACUAACAAAGUCAGGCCCUUCAAGAAACUAAAGUCCCCAUCUGUUUUUAGAGGGAAAGCUGGAAAGAUUUCUGAUGCCAAAUUCAACACUGACCUGAAAGACGAGGCUGAUGAUGUGUACAUGUGCAAGGACUCUCCUUCUUCAGACUUCAAGCAUGUGUUUAGGAAUAAAGCCAAGAGACAUUCGUUCGCAGGACACACUGCAGACUUCUACUGUUCGUUUGAGGACAUCGCCCCCGCUGGAAUCCCAGACAACAUCCAGCAGGAGACCAAAGACACCAUUAGCAACCAAAACGGCUGUAAGUUGUCAGAAAGAGUCAUAUAUACGAAGAAAUCUCACCCCAGCUUCUCAAACUGCAACAAUUCAUCUGCAACGGAGCAGGAGGAAUGCUAUGUGAAGCAAAGCCUCAAGAUACCUCAAAGAAGACGAUGGUCCAGGGGGGGAGACGUUUUGAAUUACUUGAGAAGAAUUUCCCUCAAAGGAAAAGGAAGUCAGACGUUGGCAGAGAGUAGUUUUGGGUCAAUGAAUGCCCUGGACAAAACCAUCGAUUCUGACUACGGCUCGGUCAACUUUGAACUGGUCAAGGAUUUGAACUCUGCACCUGAACAAACAGGCAUUGAUGGCAAAAGCAGCCACUUUCGAGGCCUUCUCCGAUUUUUUAACACUGUGGCUGAGACUGCAAUGAAAUGGAGAAACUCGUCCCGCUCGUUCUCCCCCCCUGAAGGCCAGCAGUCGCCUCUUGGUUUGAGAAAGACACAGCAGUCAGGAG